rnacentral:rRNA from 1 species
AUUGAACGCUGGCGGCAUGCUUUACACAUGCAAGUCGAACGGUAACAGGCCGCAAGGUGCUGACGAGUGGCGAACGGGUGAGUAAUGCAUCGGAACGUGCCCAGUCGUGGGGGAUAACUACUCGAAAGAGUAGCUAAUACCGCAUACGAUCUAUGGAUGAAAGCGGGGGACCGUAAGGCCUCGCGCGAUUGGAGCGGCCGGUGUCAGAUUAGGUAGUUGGUGGGGUAAAGGCUCACCAAGCCAACGAUCUGUAGCUGGUCUGAGAGGACGACCAGCCACACGGGGAAGGAGACACGGCCCAGACCCCUACGGGAGGAAGAAGGGGGGAAUUGGGAAAAAUGGGCGAAAGCCUGACCCAGCAAGGCCGCGUGAGGGAAGAAGGCUUGCGGUUUGUAAACUGUUUUUGUAAGAAAAGAAACGGCUUGGGUAAAACCCGGGGGAUAAGGACGGUACCGAAAAAAAAAGCCCGGGCUAACUACGUG